GGUAAAAUGGCUGAAAAUUAGGCGAUAAAUUGUAAAUUUAUUUAUGGUAUAACCUUUUGCUA
rnacentral:tRNA from 1 species